rnacentral:sRNA from 3 species
GUUUGCACUUGUCGGGGAAGGGUGAGAAUCUUCGAUUAAGGUUCGACUCGAGCGAAAGCGAGAGAACGUUGCCAACGGCAACGGCCCGUAGGGUGAGGAGCGAAGCGACGAAUAAUCCUUCCCCCACCACCA